rnacentral:rRNA from 1 species
AACGAACGCUGGCGGCAUGCCUAACACAUGCAAGUCGAACGAGACCUUCGGGUCUAGUGGCGCACGGGUGCGUAACGCGUGGGAACCUGCCCUUAGGUUCGGAAUAACUCCCCUAAAGGGGUGCUAAUACCGGAUAAUGUCUUCGGACCAAAGAGUUAUCGCCUUUGGAUGGGCCCGCGUUGGAUUAGCUAGUUGGUAGGGUAAAAGCCUACCAAGGCGACGAUCCAUAGCUGGUCUGAGAGGAUGAUCAGCCACACUGGGACUGAGACACGGCCCAGACUCCUACGGGAGGCAGCAGUGGGGAAUAUUGGACAAUGGGCGAAAGCCUGAUCAAGCAAUGCCGCGUGAGUGAUGAAGGCCUUAGGGUUGUAAAGCUCUUUUACCCGGGAUGAUAAUGACAGUACCGGGAGAAUAAGCUCCGGCUAACUCCGUG